UUCUCAACAACCUCCAUCCAUCCCAGCACCCACCCAUUCCCAAAGAGAUACCCAGCAUUGUUUAUGUGGAGUUGGAAACAAUACACUCCCCACUGCUGGUUAAUUUACAUCAGAUACAGCCAGGCCCAGGAAGCAAAGUGCCUGUCGUUUUCACCCCUUUUUUCUUCUCCCUUGCUUGCUCAUGCCCCCUCACCCCUUUUAAUUUAAAUUACUCGUUUUAACUUAAAAACUUCUGGAUGUUUUAUUACCUUGGCAGCUUUUUCUCUGGAUUGACUAAAAAGAGAAGGAGUCUUGCCAUAUUACCCAGGCUGGUCUUGAACUUCCGGGCUCAAGUGAUGUGCUCGCCUUGGCCUCCCAAAGUGCUGGAAUUACAGGCAUGAGCCACUGCGCCCAGCCCCCAUGUCUUCCUUUUUUAGAAAAGAGUUAAAAGGUCCUGAAUUCCAGCAGAAUGGCUGAAGCCAACCAGUCUCAAGACCUCAACCAAGGAACCAACCAACUCUGCACAGGAAUGCGGUUUCUUCAUCUCCCUGUCCCAGGAAUUCCCCCUUGCUUCUUGACCAAUCAGCAAUCCCCACAUUUUAGCCCUACCUGUUCAGACCCUUUACAAGCUCCAUCCCCAAACCCUGGAGGGAGGAGGAUUUGAAGGUUCCUCUGUCUCAUUUGACUGCCCUACAAUUAUUAAACUCUUUCUCUACUGCAACUCCCAUUGUGUCUGCAUACUGGUCUGUUAUCAUGCAACAAGCAAUCAAACCUAGUGGUCCUAUAACACUUUGGUUUAACUUUAUUUAGUUAAAAUACAGUAAUUUUUAAACCAGCCUAUUUUAAGUGGGAAGGUGGAACAGUUUGUAACAUACCAUGUUAAAAAAUAUAAACAUAAUAACAAUAAGACCAAUAUAAAUAAGCUGCUAUUAUAUACUGGUUAACCUCAUAAUGAUCAUGUGUCAA
rnacentral:lncRNA from 10 species